GGACAGAGUAGUCAGAACUUAGUAGGAGUCUGUGUGCCCAUCUGAUGUUUUCACUGUAUGUUGUACUAAGGGGAAGGGCAAGAAUUUAAAAGCCUACCCAUUCUUUCUUUAUGGCUUGUGCUUGCUGUAGGGAUGAGAAAGGAAUCACCUUGCCCAGUGGCAACAAGAAUAUCAAAAACAGAGGUCAGGAGACAGCGAUCUUGGCCCAGGAAUCCAUCUGCUGCUGCUGCUUUGAACACUGUGAUUGUGAAGAGAAGCCUCCCCAGGAAGAGAAGGGUCUUAGAAAUCUCCUCCACAAGUCGACAUGGCCACUUUUCCAAGAAGCAAAGCAGUUUUGCAAGAAACUUCAACAAGAGGACUUUCUAGCUACAGCUAUGGGUCAAUUGCUUGCAAGGAUUGCACAAGCAGAGAGAAGGGAAGAGACAAGAUAAAAAAGAUAACAAAACAGUCAUUUCACUUUAAUCAAAUCCUUUCUUGAGGCCUGAGAAACUUUCUAUUACUGUGUGCAUGUUUGUUUGUUUUUUUUUUUAAUUUCCAUUUCCAUUUGCUUGUACACUUGUGACUUGCAGCUGACACUACAAGCAGUACUGCCAAAACACCAUGGGAAACACCAUACCUUCUAUUUUUCUGACCGCACAGUAAUAUCCUGAAGAAGAAACAAACUGGUUUUCAUGAAAGUUUCUAUCUGAGGCCAGGCUGGGUCACAUACUAGUUUGCCCUGUUGCCAGCACCAGAUAAAGAAGAAAAAGAGUAAGCCUUUCUGCAGGGUGAGGAGAAAUUCAGGGGUAAUUCUCAAAUUUAUGAUUGGCCAUAAAAGUACUUUUUCACUUUUGCUUUUAGGUACAGCUUACAAUGGCUGCUCAUCUACUUUCAGGCAUAGUAGUGGGUGGUCACCACAGUCAGGUCAUGGGUAGCGACUGUUGGUUACUGCAUAUCACAAUUGUUUCUUUUUUUCCCUUUUGUCAAGAACAAAAGGUCAGAAAACUUUAAUGUCUCUGAAUACAUUAAUUCAAGCCUGUUAAAUUACUACUCUGUCCAUUUAAUCUCAGAAGUAUUUUCUAAAAAUGCAUGUGUCACUUAAUGUGUUACUUUAUUUAGAAGCAAACAAAUAUUUUUUUUCUGGAGAUUAAUGAGUGCCAGUUAUAUAAGCUGCAGCAUUUACCACUAUUUGGCUACAGCAGACAGAAAAUGAAGUUCUUAUAUGAACAAGAAGAACAGUUAUCAUGGCCUAUUAAAGAUUGUCAAAUUUUGUUAUCAUUCUUCCUCUUAUCCCUCC
ensembl:lncRNA